rnacentral:tRNA from 1 species
UCUUCGAUGGUCUAGUGGUCAUGAUUUCCGGUUCGUUACGCGGGAGACCGGGGUUCGAUUCCCCGUCGGAGAG